CCCACCUGCCAGGCUGGCCUCUCUGUUCUACUGAAAUGAUACCAGCUAGACUUGCCCUGGCAGCUCCCAUUGCCUCAUCCCCCUCCAGAAAGCACCAGGUGGUCCUCACGUUGUUCAUCUAUGUUCUCCCUGAAUAUAUCAGGCAGUGAGGAAAAAGUGACUGAGGACAAGGCUGAAAGUCAAUGGUCCUGCCGGCUGACUUUCUUUCAGGGUGACUGACUAUGGUUCCAAAGUCCCGCAUCUCACUCUCAGCACCCAUGAAGCAGACACCCUGUAUUCAAGGAAAAUUGACUUUGGAUUGAGUUCAUACAAAACCAGGGAGUGGGGAGCAAUGUUUCUCAGAACUCCAGUGAAAAAAACAUAAUGUAGUUAAUAUUAAAUAAGGAGAUUGGGCAACCCUAUCCCCCCG
rnacentral:lncRNA from 1 species